rnacentral:rRNA from 1 species
GAUGAACGCUGGCGGCGUGCCUAAUACAUGCAAGUCGAGCGAACGGACGAGAAGCUUGCUUCUCUGACGUUAGCGGCGGACGGGUGAGUAACACGCGGAUAACCUACCUAUAAGACUGGGAUAACUUCGGGAAACCGGAGCUAAUACCGGAUAAUAUAUUGAACCGCAUGGUUCAAUAGUGAAAGACGGUCUUGCUGUCACUUAUAGAUGGAUCCGCGCCGCAUUAGCUAGUUGGUAAGGUAACGGCUUACCAAGGCAACGAUGCAUAGCCGACCUGAGAGGGUGAUCGGCCACACUGGAACUGAGACACGGUCCAGACUCCUACGGGAGGCAGCAGUAGGGAAUCUUCCGCAAUGGGCGAAAGCCUGACGGAGCAACGCCGCGUGAGUGAUGAAGGUCUUCGGAUCGUAAAACUCUGUUAUUAGGGAAGAACAAAUGUGUAAGUAACUAUGCACAUCUUGACGGUACCUAAUCAGAAAGCCACGGCUAACUACGUG